rnacentral:rRNA from 1 species
CCCUUUUUUUGGGGUGGGUUAGUGGCGAACGGGUGAGUAACACGUGAGUAACCUGCCCCUCACUUCUGGAUAACCGCUUGAAAGGGUGGCUAAUACGGGGUGUUCUGGCCUGCUCGCAUGGGUGGUUUGGAAAGAUUCGACCGGUUUUGGUUGUUUUGGUGGGGGAUGGGCUCGCGGCCUAUCAGCUUGUUGGUGGGGUGAUGGCCUGCCAAGGCUUUGACGGGUAGCCGGCCUGAGAGGGUGGGCGGUCACACUGGGACUGAGACACGGCCCAGACUCCUACGGGAGGCAGCAGUGGGGAAUAUUGCACAAUGGGCGCAAGCCUGAUGCAGCGACGCCGCGUGAGGGAUGGAGGCCUUCGGGUUGUGAACCUCUUUCGCCAGUGAAGAAGGUCCUGCUCUUUGUGGUGGGGUUGACGGUAGCUGGGUUAAUGAAGCGCCGGCUAACUAC